rnacentral:rRNA from 1 species
GGGGAAUAUUGGACCAAGGGGGCAAGCCUGGUCCCACCACGGCGCGGGGGGGGAGAAGGGCGUCGGGUUUUAAAACCCCUUUGUUGGGGAAGAAAAGCAGCCGGGCAACACCCGGUUGGUCUUAUGGUAAUCAAAGAAUAACCACCGGCGAACACUGGGGCAGCAGCCGCGGUAAUACGAAGGGUGCAAGCGUUACUCGGAAUUACUGGGCGUAAAGCGUGCGUAGGUGGUGGUUUAAGUCCGUUGUGAAAGCCCUGGGCUCAACCUGGGAACUGCAGUGGAUACUGGAUCACUAGAGUGUGGCAGAGGGUAGUGGAAUUCCCGGUGUAGCAGUGAAAUGCGUAGAGAUCGGGAGGAACAUCAGUGGCGAAGGCGACUGCCUGGGCCAACACUGACACUGAGGCACGAAAGCGUGGGGAGCAAACA